UGUCAUGUGAGUUGCAGGCUAUUCUGUCUCAGGUUUUAUACUUGACCAGAAAGACAGGGAAUGAGGAUCCCCACAGCUCAGGAUUCUUCCCCAGGAGAUGCUCCCAGCCCAGGAUUAAAGCCAAAGGGAAGAUAUAGAGGGGUGGAGAACAGGUAGGGGAUCUGUUCCUGAUCUUCCCGAGAGCACAUCUGUCUGAGAGACCUCAUAUCCAACCUUCCUCUUGGACCUAAUGCAUUUGCUAGACAGCAGCUAGGACCAGUCCUAGCAGAGUGAGACUUUUGGGCAGGUUGUCCACAGUUCAUUCAGUUGAAUGAGCAGGAGGGUCCCCAAACACAGUAGGAAUGGCUUGCCACAUUUUGAAGUAAAUACACCCAGUGAAGUAAUAGCCAACUAUCAGACUCCCUUUCAGGGAGAGUCCUCUGAGUCCCAGCACAUUCGCUUAUUUCAAAGCCCAACGGGCAGGACCCUAAGUCCCGAAAGGUGGGGAGAAGGACCCUUCUUUUUACAGAAUUCCUGUUGGCUAUGUUUUUAAAUGUUUUCAAAAGCCAGUGUGGUGUACUGGUUAAGAGCGGUGGACUCCUAAUCUGGUGAGCCACAUGCAGCUGCUGGGUGACCUUGGACUAGUCACACUUCUCUGAAGUCUCUCAGCCUCACUCACCUCACAAAGUGUUUGUUGUGGGGAAGUAAGGGAAAAGGAGAUUGUUAGCCGCUUUGAGACUCCUUAGGAUAGUGAUAAAGCGGGAUAUCAAACCCAAACUCUUCUUCUUCAUCAUCUCCCUUCCUCACCAUCAGCCUGCUUAUUCUUUCUGGCCAUUUUGCUUCCAAGUUGGCAGCAUCUAGCUCUUUACCUCUCUGCUUUGCUCCGGAGAAGGGCUGUGGAUGUCCUUCCUCAGACUGAGACAUUCUGGGCAAGGUAGCCAGGAGAGGAUCUGCGCCACUGUUGCUUCGCCAUGGCGGCUACAGGUUUUGCAUAAGCUGAUGCAAAGAUAUACAGUUGGAUUGGUAUUUAUUCAAUGCCCCCUGCUAAACCCACAAGGUAGUCCACCUAUCUUGCAAGAUUCUUAUAAAGAGAUGAGCAGACACGGCGACCCAUCCAGCUUAUGUGGCACAGGGUGGGAGGAAUUAAUCAGAAUAAAUACAGAGCUGCAUAAAUCCUGCGCCUAUGUACUGUGUUGCACCUGGAACUAGAGCCAGACCCACAGCGCAUAUGCUGUGAUUUGCAUCUGACUUGCCCAUGCUGCAGGUCUAGCCCAGCAGGUGCCGUCUGCUUGUUGACAGGUGUGAUGUGCAGCCCAAUUACACAGGCCUGUCGGGCAUGAGUGAAAUGCAAUUCAAAAUAACAUGAGGAGACAAGAUGGACUUCACAUCAUGGUUUUCCAGUCUAAUUAGCUGUCUUAUCGGGGCUGUUGGGUUUGUUGUUGUGGUGGUUUUUUGAUCUUGCAAUUCAUCCAAGGACUUUACAGCAGCAUAUAUGUUGCCCCCUUUAUCCUCGUGAAAAGCCUGUAAAGUUCAGACCCUCCAAGUGUCCCUAUUUUCCAGAGACAGUCCCAGAUUUACAGAAGCCAUCCCAGUUGUUGUUUUUAUCCCAGAAUGUCCUGCUUUUCCUUGGGAUGUCCGUACUUUCAUCAGAGAAAUAUCGGAGGGUAUGGAGUUAUGCGACCCCCAAGUCAAGGAGAUAAGCGACUAUACAUCUGAAGGCAGCCCUGUAUAGGGAAGUUUUUUAGUGUUUAAUGGUUUAUUAUUAUUAUUAUUAUUAUUAUUAUUAUUAAUUUAUUACUUAUACACCGCCCAUCUGGCCAUGUCUCGCUAGUCACUCUGGGCAGCUUCCAACAGGAUAUUAAAAACACAAUAAAACAUCAAACACUAAAAACUUCCCUAAACAGCACUGCCUUCAGAUGUCUUCUAAAAGUCAGGUAGUUGUUUAUUUUCUUGACAUCUGGUGGGAGGGCAUUCCACAGGGCGGGUGCCACUACCAAGAAGGCCCUCUGCCUGCUUCCCUGUAACUUCGCUUCUUGGAAUGAGGGAACAACCAGAAGGCCCUCGGCGCUGGAUCUCAGUGUUGAAAGCUGCCAAGAGUGGCCGGGGUAACCCAGUCAGAUGGGCAUAUUAUAUAAAUAAUAUAAUUAUUAUUACUAUGGAAUAGGACUUCCCUAUUUUCGAGAGUCCCAUGGACUGCAAGAAGAUCAGACCUAUCCAUUCUGAAGGAAAUCAGCCCUGAGUGCUCACUAGAAGGACAGAUCCUGAAGCUGAGGCUCCAAUACUUUGGCCACCUCAUGAGAAGAGAAGACUCCCUGGAAAAGACCCUGAUGUUGGGAAAGAUUGAGGGCACAAGGAGAAGGGGACGACAGAGGACAAGAUGGUUGGACAGUGUUCUCAAAGCUACCAGCAUGAGUUUGACCAAACUGGGGGAGUGCCUGGCGUGCUCUGGUCCAUGGGGUCAUGAAGAGUCGGACACGACUAAACGACUAAACAACAACAAUUUUCAUCAGAGAAAUGUCAGAGGGUGUGAAAGUGUAUGGAGGACUUCCGGGUUGGCGUCUCCAGGCAAUGGCGGAGUUCCUCCGAUCGGGAGGAAUUUGCUCCGUGGAAAUUAGGGUCUGACCGCCACGGCGAAGGCAGAGACCCACUGAAAUCACAGGCGGGAGAAGCCUGUGAACUUGGGAUUCGGCUGGCGCCCUUUGCGCCUCCCCUACUCGCGGGGAAACCCUGAUUUGGGGAUCCGGAGCGAAGUGGGGUGAGCGGCGCGGUGCUUCAAAUUGACUGCUUCUUUCACGGAGUGAAGCCGCAUCGCUGUUGCCGGAGAGCGCUGACUUUUUCCUGUGGACAAUUGGAUUUUAAACAACUACCUGUGAGUAGAACGGAAAAUUAAAUUCAUUAAUUUGGCAUCGAAACGGGAAGGUUUUAAACAGGAAGUCCGCCUUCCUUUUUUGUAAACAGAUUGAAGCAAAGAAGUUGCAAGUUAAAGCCUUGGAAAGUUUAUUUUUGUAAAUGAUUAAAUCUCCAUCGGUUAAAACUAUUAAACCCCCCUUGGAAACAGGAGAAGAGGGGGGAAAUUUUGGACCUAGUGAGCCUGCAGGAGAGAGUGAAAAACCAAAUUACCACUGCUCCAAACCUGGAAACGGGCUGCCAGAAAGAGUGACUUUUUUGACAGCUAGCUAAAUAAGAGAAAUAUAUUGUUUCCAUUGUCCUCAUCUGCGUUUAAAAAGUAGGAAAAGUAACUGAAAACUGAAACUAACUUUAUAGUUUAAAUUGUGUUUGAAAGGAUUGAUACAAAUGGAGACUGUUUCCCUCUAGAGGGAGCUUUUGAAACUGUUACAAGAGUGGAGCUGGGGUUUUUCCAGCUGCAAGAUAAGAACUGUGUGAAAUAGAUAUUGACCUUGGAUUUUAAGAAUGUUGACAGAAGGAGCCUUAGUGACUGUAUUAUGUAAGAUAAGCUAUUCGUUGGAACAGCUCCACAAGAAGACGGAUGCUAUGAAUACCAAACUUGAGAACUUGGGACAAAAAGUGAUUAAUUUGGAACAAAAAUUGACCAUUAAUACAGAAAUUGUUCAGGAUUUGACACAGGAACCUACUUUGACAGGACAAACUGGGGAGAAGAUGAAGGAGAAUGUUGGUGUUGUUGAACCUAAAAUAAUACAAGUGGAAGCCCCAGUUUUACAGAGGUAAAUUGAGGACUAUAAGUGGAGGCCUUUUAGGAAUGAAUAUAGAAAAAGUCAGAAUUUGAAGAUUAGAGCCCUGCUUGGAAUGGAGAAGGAAUGUUGGAUAGACUCUUUCAUGCAGAGAUUUACUGACCUUUGGGUCCUGAAUCUGGGUCAGGAGAUGAUUGGAGUUGUGGGGGCCUUUGGAUCUGGAGGAGCCUUGAAACAUGAUUUGAGAUAUUGUAUGGACAUUGGUUUUAGCUGCGGAAAGUUGGUUGGUCUGUCGAGAGGGAAUGGGGGCAUGGUUGGGUCGGGGCCCACCCAAGACCUGCGCUUCAGCACCUUCAGCAUCAAAGAAUAUGAAGAAAAACUGCAGAAGGGACUUGGAAAAGAUUUAAGAGCCUCGGACAGAAGAUCUCCAGGUUGAUGAACUAUAUGGAAUGGACGGAAAUGACUGGAAGAAUCCGAGACCAGGGAGAAGAGAUGGUGGUAGAAGAUUGGGAAAGUUUAAAGUUUAUAUAUAUAAAUAUUGUAAAUUUAAUGAGUGUUAGAAAAUUGUUGGAAUGAAACUUUAUGGCUUUAGCAGAAAUGUUAUAAGGAGUUAGGUAUAAAUAUUUCAGUAUUAAUGGAAAAUAAGGUUAAAAAUAUGUUAAGAUAUUCAUAAUGAUAAAAAUAGAGAAAGAUGGAAAGGAAUUGCUGAAACAAGUAAUAGAAGUGGAAUACAAAAAGGGAGGUGAGAUGAAAUAAGGGAAUGAAAGAUAGAGUAAUGAAAUGGUAUGGUAUAUGUUUUUAAAUUGUUGUUUUGCUUUGUUUAGUUUAGUGUGUUAAGGUUGUGUUUUGUAUUGUUUAUUGUAUUGUUUUUUCUUUUCUCUCUUUUUCCCCCUUCUCUGCUCUAUUUUGUCUUUCUCUCUGGUCCAUGGGGUCAUGAAGAGUCGGACACGACUAAACGACUAAACGACUAAACAACAACAAUUUUCAUCAGAGAAAUGUCAGAGGGUAUGAAAGUGUAUGGAGGGAUGCGGGUGGCGCUGUGGGUUAAACCACAGAGCCUAGGACUUGCUGAUCAGAAGGUUGGUGGUUCGAAUUCCCGUGGCGGGGUGAGCUCCCGUUGCUCGGUCCCUGCUCCUGCCAACCUAGCAGUUCUGCAAGUAGAUAAAUAGAUACCACUCUGGCGGGAAGGUAAACAGCGUUUCUGUGUGCUGCUCUGGUUCGCCAGAAGCGGCUUAUGAAAGUGUAUUAGGGUUAAGAACCCCUGACAGGUGUUAGAUCACUUGCAAAGUAUUGUAGCUGCCUGUGAUUUGAACUAGGACUGUGUAGCAGAUUCACCCAAAGCCCAAAUUUGAUCUGGCUGAUUUGGCCAGAUUGCUGCAGGUCAGGCCACCCAGAGUGACCCAGAGUCAUCAGGAGCAGGGGAUUGGGAUCCUUCUGUACUCAUGGGAAAAUAUUGUGCUUCAAAAUGUAUGAUACAGUGCCAUUUCUGUGCAAUGCUGUAUACUACACCAUCUCCUUUAGAGCAGGAACAAGCAAUUCAACUUUCAUGGUAUCGUGUACAUGUCAGAUUACUCAUUUCACAUGAGCCAUAUUCAUGAGCAUCCCAUAACCGCACCCACCACAUUAAAUUCCUUUUGGCACAAUAAGCAUUAAUAUAGAAGGGGCUUCUAUAUGUUUUAUAUGUAUGUUCAUGAAUGAGACUCUGUGAAGUAGAUAAACUACGGGUCGAGUGGGAUGACCGGAAGUGAUUUAAUUAAAAGACAAUUUAAUAGCAGCUUCCAGCUAGUCCCUCUUAUUUUCUGCAGUUUGAUGGUGUGAUCCUGCCAUUGCUCUGUCAAUAGCUGGUAUCCACCACCCAACACAAGCCAACAAGGCUCAUUUAAGCAAUUUUUACUAGCCAUCAAUACUCACUAAAGAACCACCUCUAGCUAUUAACCAGACCAAGGCCCAGGUCUGUCUUGUUUUGCAAGGUCAUAAGACUGCACAGUUGUAUCUCCAUUAAGUCCUCUGUACCUCCAUUAAGUCCGCCCACCAAACUGCUGUAUUCCAAGUUUCUGUCUCCGACUCGGUAACCAAGACUUGCAUGUUUUUCUCAUGUUCAGACACAACUCCAAGCCAAGCUCCAUUCCCAGAUUUCUUUCUCUCUUAAAUACAACUAUGGCUCCUUAAUGCCAUUUGCUAUUCUUGUCUCAAACUGGGUCAGGACAAGACAUCAAAUAAAAGCAAAUUAUAUGGUUUCAGCAUGCAAUUUUCAUUGUUGCUGCUCCGCUGACUCUUGGAGUUUUCCACCUUCUCCCAUCAAAUCUCUUGACCAUUAUUGGUCCAUGAAACAAGGUGGCAAAAUAGUUUUCUCUUUGCAGUUCGCUUAGCAGCUACUAAUUCACCUUUGCUUUAACGAGUCACAUGACGCAAUCCCAUUUUGGUUAUUUCGAAUCAUGUCGUUACAUGGGCUAAUUAAGUAAUAAGACACAACAGGGCAUGGGUUUAUUGUGUAAUAUUUUAUGCCAAGGUGUAUAUUCACUCUACUUGGGUGUGAGUGAUUACACAAUAAUUUAAGCAUCAAAAGGCUCAGGUUGCAAUUUUAAAGACAAUAUUAAUUUUUAAAAAAAUAUUUAAUUUGGGAGUCGAUGAAUGGGCUGCAGGACCUUUUAAAAAAAUCAUUUUUGCUGAAAGUAACAUAAAAAGAGAAUGCUCACUUUUCCUUCCCAAAGCACUGAAUUCAAUGCAGUCCAGACCAGACAAGAUGGCUCUCAUGGCAAAGAGAUUACACUUUUACGGUUACAUCCAGUAUAACAGAGCAUCUGUCUCCAGAUGUUAGGAAUGCUACAAUUAUCAGAGAGCUCACAAAUUUUGGCACCUGUGACUAUUUGAACUAUAAAUUGGGUUUAUGGAUGUGAAUAAUUUCCUUUCAUCAUAUAAUGGAGGAACUCCGUAGCUCAGAGGUGGGAAACCUGUGGCCCUCUGAUGUUGUUGGACUUCAACUCCCAUCAACCCUGAUCAUUAGCUGUGCUGAUUGGGGAUGAUGGGAGUUGGAGUCCAAUAACAUGUAGAGGGUCCAAUGAAUCCUGGAAGGCCACAGUUCCUCUUUCCUGUCAUAGUCGGUGAGCAAUUCAUAACUGGCGUCUUGUCCAGUGCAUUGUUUAUGAACACUGGAGAUUUUGAGGAUUAGAAAUGGGGGAAAAGGAAGUAAGGAUUAGAAAUACAUAAGAAAGGCAACUCACCAUUGGAACCCUUUGUGGAUUUAGGGGAGUGCAACUGGUUUGCUGGAAGGGGACAAAUUUUGGCGUCACGCAGAGCGCUGCAGAAAUUUCUGCCACUGUUAACCCUCAUAAACAACGACAAGAAAGAGUAUACAAAGACAUUCUGAGCUCAUUUUAACAGGGUAUUUGAAUGUUCCAAAACAAAUCCAUGUGUGUGGUGUCAGAAGAAAAGUCCUUAUAGCUAGCACAAUGCUACUACGAAGUAAGACCUGUUGAAUUCAGUACUGCUUACACCCAGGAAAGUGAUUAUGAGUGUAGCAAGUUUGCUUCUGUAGAUCGGUUUUAGGGGGUUUUUUUGGUGGAGGGACCCAUCCCCUGGUGUUGGGAUACUGCCAGGGAGAUGAAGUCCAUCAUGGCCCCCAAGCCGGCUGCCGGACAAUCCAUCGACCUCCCGUAGUCACGCAGUAUCAGCAAUUAGCGACAUGAGCUCCAGAACAUUCUAGAGCCGAUGCACACUCUUUAUCAGCAGAUAAUGCACAGCAGAAGUCGCACUCAGGAGAGCAUUAUUUAUAAGUUUUAUUCAGCGUUGAUCAGAACAAAGAAAACCAUGACUGCCUGCAUCGAUGUCUCCAGACACAGAGAGAAACGAAAGCAAUAGCAAACAUAAACAUCCUGUGAACAGGACAUGCGCAGACUCUGACCCACAAAGCCUGCUCCCUUUUAAGGUGGAACGGAAAUAUCCUAACAGAGGGACCCAUAGUACAGUGGUACCAUGGGUAACAGACGCUUCAGGUUACAGACUCCACUAACCCAGAAAUAGUACCUUGGGUUAAGAACUUUGCUUCAGGAUGAGAACAGAAAUCGUGCAGCGGCGGCAUGGCGGCAGCGGGAGGCCCCAUUAGCUAAAGUGGUGCUUCAGGUUAAGAACAGUUUCAGGUUAAGAACGGACCUCCAGAAUGAAUUAUCGUAUUUUUCGCUCUAUAAGACGCACCAGACCACAAGACGCACCUAGUUUUUGGAGGAGGAAAACAAGAAAAAAAAUUAUUCUGAAUCUCAGAAGCCAGAACAGCAAGAGGGAUCGCUGCACCCUCUUGCUGUUCUGGCUUCUGAGAUAGCUGCGCAGCCUGCAUUCGCUCCAUAAGACACACACACAUUUCCCCUUACUUUUUAGGAGGGAAAAGGUGAGUCUUAUAGAGCAAAAAAUACGGUAAGCUCUUAACCCGAGGUACCACUGUAUAUUGUUUUACUCCAAUGUUUUCCAUUGGCACACACACACACACACACACACACACACACACACACACACACUUCAACAACAAAAAUCAAUAGAUUUUUUGGACUAUUUUGUGUCCUGGCUCAUUUUUGCUUUCAGGGAAGCACCAUAGCUGAGUGGGAGAGCAUCUGUUUGGCACACUGAUGUUCCCAGGGUUCAGUGCAAGCGACUCCAGGUAAAUCUGAGAGAGAACCAUGUCUGAAAUCUUGGAGCACUGCUGCCAGCCAGUGUCAUACAAUAGUGAGCUAGUUGGACCAAUGGUCUGAUUCAGUACAAGGCAGCUCCUUAAUUCCAUAUGGGCACCUAAAUGUAUCGCGAUGCUGGGAAAUUGGCACUUUUGAAAUGCAUUCAAUUCGCAUGAGCAUCUGUUUUGCACAAAUUCCCGUUGGCUACACCAAUAUUAUAUUUCUUCCUUUGAGUUUGAAAGUAUCAGCCAGGAUAUGUUAUCAUCCUUCCUGCUCUGCCCUGAUUCUGUUCUUCCAAGUGGCAUUUGACUCAGUGCAGUGUGUGUGUGUGUACUUGGUUGGGCUGGGCUGCAAGCCAAAUUCUUGGAUGACAGAGGCCUCCAUGGGCGUCUGCUAUGUUGAUGGCAUAAGAGACUCGGGAGACAAUUUGAUGAGUCUCUCUCUUUGCCCCCAUUCAACCUCACAUUCUUUCUCUGACUCAGAUAUUCAAGCAUCACCGACUCCUGAAUGUCGGGGAUAAGCAAAGGAGACUCAUGAAUUACCCAUGGCAUGAAACCAUCGUUGGGUAAAGAUCAAUCCGCAGCCACACAAGGGACUGGUGGCUCAUUGUUCUGAGAAGCGGAGUUGAGGUGAAGAAACAAGACACAAGGGAGAGCAGCAGGAGAGGCAUUUGCCAAAGCCACUCCUUACUAGGGGUGCAUGUUACUAGCAGUGCAUGUUACUGUUGCUUCAAGGCCAACUGAGGAGCAGUAAGAGAGACACUGCAAUUCUCUGCACUUCAAUGGGAUUGCAUGGCAACCUAUGUAUAUCAUUUAUUUAAACUGCUGAUCUUCUCCAUCUUUAAUGCUCAAGGAAACUUAGAGGUGCAACCAACUAAGUUAUUCUCAAAUGAACAGGACUAACUUGGGUCCAUAAAUUUCAGUGGGUCUGCCCUGAGUAGGAUAACCCUCAGCUGCGCUGCCUGCUCUUAUGAUUGCUCUUAUGAUUGCCAGCUUGCUUCAACUGCAGUGGUACCUCGGGUUACAUACGCUUCAGGUUACAGACUCCACUAACCCAGAAAUAGUCCCUCGGG